AGCGCUUAACCUCGAAUCAGGUAGGGAUACCCGCUGAACUUAAGCAUAUCAAUAAGCGGAGGAA
rnacentral:rRNA from 1 species